rnacentral:lncRNA from 1 species
AUGCUGGAGAGGACGGCCGGGGUACAGAGCAAGGAGGCGGCCUUGGAAGAGGAGGCGGUGCUGAAGGUGGAAGACAUCAUGGCUGAGGUGGAGGUGGUGGUUGAGGUGGAGCCCGACGUGGGGUGGCAGAAGGAGGGCCAGCGGGCACAGCCUGGCCCUGGACCGAGCACACCGGGGCCGUCAAUGGACUCGCUGGAGGUCCUUCACUUGGAGCUGGGCUCCGUGAAUGCCCCAGCCCAGGCCGUCUUGGCCGGGGUCCACCCACUCCAAAAACCACCACAGUUGUGAUGUCGGCGUGGGUCGGAAAGCAUGCGGAAGUCCUGCUUUGCUACGUGAUGGAUUUGCAGGUCAGGUGGAGGAACUCAGCCAUCCCGGUUACCGGUGGCAGGAUGAUUUCCUUUCAUCCCAACCUUUAUUUCCACAGUGAAAUCAUCAUGAAGGAGCACUGUGUUGGCAUCCUCGGCUACAGGGUGUCUCAUUCCACUGCAGUCCAGCGGUUCUGGGAUCACGAAGGUCAAGCCUCCAGCUGCAGGCAGUACACCUCCUACCUGAGCUCAUUCAGCUGUUUGGCUGAACAUGACUGCCCGGGUUUUGGCAGGAUUGCUGAG